GACGAACGCUGGCGGCGUGCCUAAUACAUGCAAGUCGAGCGCAGGAAGUCAUCCGACCCCUUCGGGGGGACGUUGACGGAAUGAGCGGCGGACGGGUGAGUAACACGUAAAGAACCUGCCCUCAGGUCUGGGAUAACCACGAGAAAUCGGGGCUAAUACCGGAUGGGUCAUCGGACCGCAUGGUCCGAGGAUGAAAGGCGCUCCGGCGUCGCCUGGGGAUGGCUUUGCGGUGCAUUAGCUAGUUGGUGGGGUAAUGGCCCGCCAAGGCGACGAUGCAUAGCCGACCUGAGAGGGUGAUCGGCCACACUGGGACUGAGACACGGCCCAGACUCCUACGGGAGGCAGCAGUAGGGAAUCUUCCACAAUGGACGAAAGUCUGAUGGAGCAACGCCGCGUGAACGAUGAAGGCCCUCGGGUCGUAAAGUUCUGUUGUAAGGGAAGAACAAGUGCCGCAGGCAAUGGCGGCACCUUGACGGUACCUGGCGAGAAAGCCACGGCUAACUACGUG
rnacentral:rRNA from 1 species